rnacentral:rRNA from 1 species
UACGUAGGGGGCAAGCGUUGUCCGGAUUUAUUGGGCGUAAAGAGCGUGUAGGCGGCCAGAUAGGUCUGUUGUGAAAACUCGAGGCUCAACCUCGAGACGCCGAUGGAAACCAUUUGGCUAGAGUCCGGAAGAGGAGAGUGGAAUUCCUGGUGUAGCGGUGAAAUGCGUAGAUAUCAGGAGGAAUACCUAUGGCGAAAGCAGGUAUCUGGGCCAUCACUGACGCUGAGCUGCGAAAGCUAGGGGAGCAAACAGG